GACCCGCCCGCCCCGGCUGCACCUGUCUCGGCGCGCCGGGAGCGCGGUGUCCGCCCCGCUGAUGGGGCUGCGGGCGGCACCUUCCCCCGGGGAGGAGGAGAAGGAGGAGGAGAAGGAGGCGAGCCGGUGGCGGAGGUUUUUUAUGACUGUUCCACAUCCUCCUGCUGCUGCUGAAGCCAACGUGGAUGCGAAUGCUGUGGCUACAAAGGCUUGUCACUGUCUCAUGCUGGGUCCCUCAAAUCCAGGAGCUACUUGGCAGUUUCCAAGGCAACCACCUGUGGAAUAAUUAAAAAGGAUGAAGUGUUAGCGUGCCACAUAUAAGGAAUUCUUGCCUGGAGAAAGCGUUUCACUUUCGUCCGUCUUGAAGAAUCAAAAGGUGCUUCUGCCAGCAAAGUUAAGAAGAAGGAACGGUGGCUGAGUUGCACAAGUGAACCAGGACGACGCAAAAUGAAGUCAAAGAGGAAUGCUCAUUUUCCUAUUUCAUGCUGAUCUCAAGAGGGCAUCUUGCAUAUGCCAGAGGAAGAACAUGUUGUUUGAGGGAAAACCUGCCUAUAAAUCUGUGCAAAUGGAAAGGUAAAUAAUUUCUGUUUCCAGUACACUGAUGGAGUAAGAUCUCUGCACUGGUUAUUUUUCCUGCUGUGAAGUAUGUAGUAUAUAAAUGUAUCUGGCAUAUGUAUUUGUCACUGUGCAGCAGCAGAAUGUAGCAAGUGAAUAUCUUUAAAAAAUACUGAUAUCUGCUUCACAGAAUCACAGAAAGGUUUGGGUUGGAAGGGACCUUCAGGACCAUCUAGUUCCAACCCUCUGCCAUAGGAAGGAACACUUUCCACUCUCCCAGGCUGCUCAUUGCCUCAUCUGGCUUCUUCAGCAUCACAAGAAAGGGUUCUAAAGUGCUUUGUUUCACUCUGAAAAUAUUCCUGGCUUGUGUUUCAGGUUUUUUUUGCAGUGUCAUAUGUGGUGGGAGGAGUACAGAAUGUUUGUCUUGCGCUGCAAGGUCCUCUGCAGUGUGUUCCUGAGGCGUGGGAAUUAAGCUGAGGUUAAAACUUGAAGUGGUCUGAUUGAACUUCCUAUCUUUCUUAAUUGUUAUCUUCUUUCUGUGUGAUAAUUUUAAUUUCACUUCCUCUUGGGUAAUCGUGGAGUAGUCUGAGUUUGUGUUAUAUCAGACAAAAAAAAAAAAAAACUACAGACUAAUAAAAGUUUUUGUGCUGUUUACUGUUAUUUUUUAAAGAUACAGAAGAGCAGUUCCUUCCAGGUCACUUCCCAUGCUUUGACAGACAAAGUGCCACGAUGAUGUGUGGAGCAGCACAAAUUAAUCCAGUGCUGGAGAUAAGCAGAGGGGCAGCUUUGAGAGCUCACUUUGUAGGGACAGAAGUGGCUGUGAUCCAGCUCAUGGCACGAGGAUACAAACAGCAGGUGUAGCUUUGGAGUGCUUCAUGACAGGGGCAUUUCUGCUCAGGGGUGGGAUUACAGCUUCUAUUGAAAUUUAUAUAACAGCCACCGUGCCAGGGUGGUUGCUAAAAAUGAUGCUCAUCGCUCUUACAUCCCCAAAGCUGUAAGUCAGAAGAACUAUUCUAAGCUGAAGAAAUAUUUUGGGUUUUUUUUUUAAUUCUUAAUGGCCAUUGUUUUUCUCUCAGACCCCACUGAGAUGAUUUUAAAUGUGUCAGGCAGCGCUGGCAAUGAAAGUAUGUGUUUUUAUAAUGUAAGACUUGGACAAUCAACAAUGAGUUUUGUUUUGGGUGGCUGCUUCAUUAUCAUACCCUCAUUAUCAUACCUAAGCAAUCAACAGGAAUUACUUUUUUUAUUAUGGCUGUCCUGUCCAGUUUCUAAAAUACAACAUCAGCUGCUUUUAUCCAGCAAAUGGUGAUCCAUUUGGGAAAAAAAACAACCUCAGUAUUUUCCUGCCUGUGCUGCCCCAAAGGUUGGUGUUUUGCAGAAGGAGCAGUCAGCUGCUAUGGUGAUGGGCACAGGGUGGGAAUGUGGACAGAAAUAGAGGGAGGCUGAAGCCAGACUGUUCCUGCUUCCUUAUGGUUUCAGUAGCCCUCUCUGAAGUGGAUGGGGACUGAUUCCAAGGAUUUCGCAGGUUAUUUGUGGUUUUCUGCCUCAGAUUCUCACAAUUAGCACAAAAUAAUACUCAGAAAAAAAAGAGUGAGAUUCUCAGAUGGAUAAUGUUUGUACAGGAUGUAUGUAAUUCCCUGCAGAGCAGCUUGUGCCCGUUGUGCUGGGAUGUGGAUGCACAGAAAUCUCCCUCCUCCCAUCCAGACUGAAGUCAGUUUUUGGUAAUGCAUAAUUCAUAUCCUGAAGCCUUUGUCACAAAAAAAUCUUACUGCCUUUCCCCCAGCUCCGUAAGCCUGCUUUUGUAUUUUUAGGAUUUCCUUCCCUGCUAAUCCCCAAAAUCAGCCUGAUGAGGUUUCAAAACAGAGUUCAGAGUAAAUCUGAGACAACCUUUACGUCAAGGAUGUUGCUCUGUGCAGCAGGUAAUUCUCUGGCACCUGCUAUUUAUGGAUUUUGCCUCCACAAAGAAUUACUUCCCUGUGGCACCACUGCCACAGUCAGUGCACAAGUGCACUGCAGCUCGAGGGAUUCUACCAGGAGGUUUGGAUCUAUUUUGGAUACAUCUCACAAGAAAUUCCCGCACACAUAUUUUGUUAUGAAACAAAGACAGCAAUUCUUUUUUUCUUUUUUUUUUGUGAUUUUUUUGUGAGCUCUGAUCCAAAAUUACUCUUUCCAUAGGGAGCAUGAUGCCUGUAUUUAGUGAUGGGUUAGUGGCACACCUCGAUUGCCUGUUCUGACUGUGAGUGCACUCACACAAGUACAGAUUGUGAGGUGUCAUAACGUGGUUAAAAAGUCUGUGUAAAAACCUGGAGGAAAAGAAAAAAAUGAUUCUCAAGUUGUGUUUUGAUUCAUCUCUUUGCAGAACAACACAAUUCAAACAACUUCUGGUGUUUUCCUCUUCCAGAUUCUGAGGACAAGCCUGUCAGUAAUGAAUUGUUCCAGAAGUACACAAAGAAAGCUCUGCAUGGUAGAGGCUGUUUUUCCUCAGGUACAACACAUCCCUGUCCCUCCUUGGUACCUGUUGUUGCAAAUACCAUCAGGCCUUUCCUGCUCAAAGCUUUGAGGAGCUUUGAAAGUACAGAGAUAAAUGCAUGGUGUGCCUGCACAAUGGGAAAAUCGGAUGUUUCACUAGUGGGAAAUAAUUGCUUUCAUUUGAGGGCUCUUUGCCUGUUCCAGAGUAAUGUUCCCCAGAUCUCUUCACUUCGUAGCACUUCUAAGUGCAGCUAAACAAAGCACAGGAAGGAAUGUGAAGUACUGUCAUCAGUGUAGAAAUCUUUUCAGCAAUGGUUUGUCAUUAUUUUUCUCCCAAAUGAUCCAAAUGCUUUUUUUUUUCUUUCCCUUACUGUUUAUAUCAAGACACCACAGACCUUGUGAUAACACUAAAUUCCAGCUGUGGAGGCUUUGAUUGUUUCUUGCACGUUGCUCAUUUUAAGAUGACAGAAUUGUUCAGUGAGAGAAAUUCAAAUGGAAAAAUUCAGGCAAACAGUCCUGUGGGGAAGGUUGAGCUGUGUGUAAAAAUCCAGUAAAAAUUGAGUAAGAACCUCAGAGUUCAAUGUAUUGAUUUUCUUGUGAAAGUUCAAGAACUGUGUUUCCUUGCAGGCUGAAACUCAUCUCAGCUCCUCAUGACCAGCUGAGCGAGAGAGAUGGGAUUUGAUGCUAUCCAAAGUGUAAUUCCACAGUUCAUGUCUUCUGCUAGUUCCAGCUUAAUCAGCUUCUGCCCACUCUCAGCCAUUCAUUUCCAGCUCAGCAGCAAUGCAGUGCCACCUCUUCCCUGACCGUGUGGAAAACCAGAUGACUGAAAAUAACUCAGUCAAGAAUAGAAACUCUUCAUUUUUUUUCCUUUGUAUUAAAAUCAUUUGAAUGAAUUUCGUGGCCCACAGGCAGAUGUAUUGGUGCUGCUGAAGGUGACAGGAAAUGCAGCAUCAGAGGCAGCAGUGAGCACUGUAGGGUGUCCCAGUCCUGUGUGAUCUUGCUGUCAACAAAAAUCUGCUCUGGGACAAUAUCCUGAAUGAAGGGCUUUCACUAACCACGGGAUUAUUUAUUGAACUGCUGCUUUUCAUUUAUUUUAUUAAGGAAGAUUACCAUCUUCUUGUUAGGGCAGGUUUAUUUUUUUUUACUUGAGGAGAUAAACCAUCUCUGUGAGAAGUCAGUCAGCUUUGUGGACAGCCAUGAAUGUCAAUAAAGUCUUGGCAAACACAGUAGGUAUUUAUUCAGCAUUGCAAAUUAAAAACAUUUUUCCUGCUUGUUUAGUGAAGGGAACAAAAAAAGACAAAUUACAGAGCGGAUGAGCUCUCUUGAUAGUUGGAAUUCAUUAAGCUGGUGGUGAAAACACUGGGGGAUUGAUGGUGCAGAAAAAGAAAAGAUGAGGCAGCUUUUCCCCAAUAGCUGUGGCUCAAGUUCAAGUUGAAAAUGACAAAAAAAAAAAAAUCCCUUAAAGACAUCUGUAACUGACUUUCACAAUCCCAGUUUCUGUCUGGAUAGACAGUUCUUUCUCACUGUAGUUAGUAUUAAUUGGUUUUUCAGUUGACAGAUAAUUUCUCAGUGGCUCCUGCAUCUCCAUUAUGCCAUGGGGUGUCUGCAGCAGCUCAUAAAUGAGAUCCAUGGCCAGACAUUAAGUGAGAAGUUCACACAGACCCUUCCCAUGGUACAGACAGAGCCUUUCUGCAGACUAGUCACUCUGUCAUCUUCCCUCAGCUCCACAUUUUAUUAUUAUUUUAAAAAAAAAGUAUUUAAAAAGUUACAGUAAGUUAAGCAGUUUGUCAGAUGUGAUGUUCUCACAGGCCAUUGUCUGCAGAUUCCAGGCUGCCUCUGCCUUUCAGAUGGAUCGUAAAGCUGUCGUGAGUGCAGCUCUAACAAAAUCCAUUUACACGGCUCCUGUUAUGGCAGGGCAUGGAAAGGAAGCUGUAGGAUUUAUUUUUUAAUGAAUUUCCUGUACAGAAUCAUUAGUCCACCAUGGAAGUCUUUCCAAGUCACACCCAGUGCAGCUCUGUCUGAUUAUCCCUGAUGAAUGGGAUAAAAAGCCCACCGCAGACACUUGGAGUCACAGACAGUUCUCAUGUCAUUCCAAGUACAGGAAUUCUGCACUUCAUCAUUAGAAGAGAGAGGGUUCCCUAGUAAGUGUUUAAAUGCAGCUAAACCACCUGUAAAUCACUAGAAUUAUUCAACAGCAAAACAAAGCCUUUGUAAACUUCAUUCUUGCAGUGCUCUAAUUGCAGACAAAACUUUACCCAUUCAAGUGAUCCCAUCAAUGUCAAAUAAAAACAUGAAUUAUGAAGCUUGUAAGAUUAGAGCUUGAAGUCACUGACAUGUCAUUCCCAUAAUUUUCUCUGGAGAAUUACAGAACACUUAAUUUGUAACUGCAGAAACCUAAGUGUAAUCAGACGCUCUUCCAUCUACAGUUUUUAUCUAAGUCAUUGAAUUCUGGAUUUGUUCUUUCCUGUUUCCCAAGUUCUUACUUGUAAAUGUGAAGACAUUAACUGCCUUUCUUCUUCUUCCCUGUUCAACGAGGAAGUUGCCCUCAGCUCUUUGAUCAUUAAAUCUGGGAAGGAUGGAGCAGUCCAAGAUUUGAAAAUGUUUUAAAACUUCCAGCACCUAAUUAGAAGGAGGCAUCUUGCAGCAGCACAAUAGCUCUCUCUCUGCAGUUCAUUUGGUUUUCCAAUUGAGAAAUGACAGUUUACAGCCCUGGUGUGAGCGUGUUUCUCAUUAGCCUGUUCUAGGAGCACGCAGAGUUACUGCAAGUUUUGAAAGAUGCUUUCUUCAAAAGUGCAAAUGAUAUUAAAUGGCACAAUUUGCUCUCUGGAUAGCCACAUGGAGAAGCUGUGGCCUGCAGCCAUCCUAAGGCCAGUGGUAAAGGCAGAGCCAGGCAGCUGGACCUCAGCUUCAAAUCCGUGGAUGUCAUGGAUGCAACUGCAUGGAAAAGAUGCUGCAGCAGGAAGUCUUCUUGUCCAGGGGAGACAGAUGUGAAUUGUCUGUGCUUUCCUCGUUUAACAGAUGGAUCUCAGGUUUCUUGGCCUUUUCUUGUGAAGAUUUUCUUGGAGAGGAGUGUGUUAGCUGUGCUGCUGACAGAUACCCUCAUGAGAACUGUCCACAGUGGCUUGAUUUCCCUCUUCAGGAGCUGGAUUCCUGGUCUGAGCUGGCUGAGUUUGUUGUCCUUGGAGUAAAUGAACACAGAGUGAUGAAACUCAAGGAACAGGUGUAAUUCCUUUUUUUUAACAUAGUUUUCUGCCCCCUGAAGAGGAGAUUGAGAAUAUUUGCCCAUCCUCAGGACUCAACUGAUGGGUUCAUCUUGCAUGGUGGUUUAGGGUCUGGAAUGCCAGUUCUACAAGGACUGGCUGAGGAUUGAAAAGGAGACUCGGGGAAGUCCUUAUUUGCCUGAAGACCAAUAUUUACCUGAAAGGAGGUGGUGGUGAGGUGGGAGUCAGCCUCUUCUCCCAGGUAACAAGUGACAGGAAAUGGCAAACAGCCUCAAGUUUCUCCAGCAGAGGUUCAGGCUGGACACUAGGAAAAAUUUCUUCACUGAAAGAGUGGUUAAGCAUUGAAACAGGCUGAGGGCAGAGGUGGAGUCACCAUCCCUGGAAGUGUUCAAAAAACAAGUGGACCUGGCACUUCAUGAUACAGUUUAGUGAGCAUGGUGGUAUUAAAUCAAAGGUUGGGCUCAAUAAUCUUGGAGGUAUUCUCCAACCUCAGUGAUUCUGUGGUUCUAGUCAAUUAAAAUCAGCUUUCACAGGGCUUCCAGAGGCAGGUAUGGAGCACACCCAGGUGUAAUAAACUACAGGGAGGGGAAAAGAUGCUUCACUCUUCUUGAAAACACUGCAGCGAGGCAAAAUUUUGGACUUCUGCACGGCUGAAGGAAAAAGAGUUUGGUCCUGCCUGGACUUUAAAGCAGCUUUAUUUUACCCAUUAGUGUUUUGUGAGGCUGUGUGGAAGAUUCCCAGGCAGCUGCACGCUCAGGGCAGGGCCCGGGGACACGGGCACAGCUCCGUCCUGAUGCUUCCUGCCUGCUCUGCUCCACACAGGCACUUUCUGGACAGAAAAGCUGCACAAUAAAUCCAGUGCUGAUGUGGCCUGGCGUGGUGACAGCUCUUCCAGUAACUGCAGGAACUGCCUGCUUAUAGAGGCCUGGCCUGCUCCGAUGGAGUGUUUUCCUUAAAGCUGUUGUUCUGCACCAGAUGAGGCACACGGUGUCUUUGUGCCUCCCUCUGCCAUGCAGACACUUUGUGGUGCCUUCUGUGCCACUGCCCAGGGUGAUUUGUUCCUUUCUAGAGGCUGUGAUGGACCUGAGUGCUUCCCAGAACAUGUCACUGAGAGCAGGGCUGUGCAAACACUCAAGACUUGUUCAGCAUCGCUCUGCAGAUGUACUCCGGGUCUGUUCUGCCAGCUGACAUGAGGGGCUGCAGAAAGAUGAUGAAAAAAGAAAAAAAUACCUGUUUGGAAGGGAAUAAAUUGUCUAGGACACACUUCACUAGCAGAUUUCCAGGAAACAACCCUCUGUCAGAUUUCUUAGAAGCUGUUGUGGCUCCCAGUGCUAAGUGCCAAGUCUGAAUAGCCCAUCAUCAACUCAGUCCUUAACGUCAGGUUUGGUGACGCGCUUUUCCCCUAAUUUGCAAAUCCCACCUCAGCCAGAGCUAGCUGACAGGUGGGCAGGUUUCCAAGCUCUCUGCAUAACCUUUGGGAUGACUAUUGAACCUUUAGGCACUGACAUGCAGCUUCUGUCACACGUUAGUCUUGGUGUGCUGCUGCUGUUGAAGUGAAGAUUUGGUAACAUCUUACGUGUUUCGCUGUCACAAGAGGGAGUUUUGUAGCAGUGCUGCCCUUGCUGGUGUGUUUGGAUGCAGUCUGGCUGUGGGCAGAGCUCAGCAGACAGAAUGUGUUAAUAGAAGACAGCAGCACAAGCAGGAUGAAUGUCUUUCAUUCCUUGUUAAAGCCUUGUACAUGUUGUUCAAGCCUGACUAACAAAAUUCCUCUGAGUGACACUGCUGCAAGCAAUUCUCUUGCUGUUGGUAGCACUGUAAUAGAAAACAGAAGUGAGCAUUUGAGUGACUCAAAAACCAAAAUCAAGGGUAAGAAUAAGAAAAAAGCAUCAACUGUUUUAACAGGAAAAAUAAAAACCCAACGUGGCUAGGUAUUCUUCUGUGGCAUUUCCAAUUUAUUGUUACAGGAAUAUCCUCCCAGCUAGACUCAAGCUCCCUCAGGAAGCUGGUUUCAUAUGGUGGUUUAGAUUUAACUAUUCAUUGUCUAGCACCAUUUGAAAUCAGUGUUCUUGGAGGAAGAAUGCCUGCCUUCAUCAGGGAAAUGGACCCUCGGGAGCCUCAGAGGAAAAGAAGAGAAAGUCAAGAUCUUCCUUGUGUGGCUCUGCCAUUCCGAUUAACCUCCACCACCAAACCAAGUCCCUCAGUGGGACUCCAGGGGUCUGUGACCCAGAGCAAUGUAAAGAGUGAUUUCAAAGGCAGAAAUUCUGCUGUCAUCAUGUUUAUAAUAUUUGUGAGUACUGAGCAACAACUUCAGAACUCAGGAAGAUUUUGAGACAGAAACAAGGCAAAAAAAGUAACAUACAGAAUUGUAACACAGGAUUGAAGGUGUUGAUUUUAAUGCCCCAACUAGUAAAAACUACUACAGCUAGUUCAUACAACAUGGUGAGGAAUAAGCAGGGAACUACAUUUGCUCUAAAUUCUUAACUCAAAACCUAUUUUCAGCCUUACCUAGAUCUAUUUUUCUUACCACUUCAUCACACUUGUAAAUACUUUGUCAUACAAGACAAUCAAAUUUGAAACAGGUAAUUCUGCAUGGAAGCACUGGGAAUUCUGGAUGCUGUUUGCAUCCCUCCUGAGUGUUUGGCUUUUUGUUGUGGCAUGUUUGGCAGAUUAGAAUGUGCUGCUUAUUUUGUGUGACAAGACUUGCCAGCGUGCAGGUUGGUGGUUGGAUGGGCUCAUGGAAAUGGCCAACAACUGAGAGUUAGACCACAGGUGGUUGGACAUACUCUCCAAGUCUACUGAAAUCUGGAGAAGUCUUUCAAGAUUGUAUUUUUUGAAGUGUUUUACUGUAUUAAAAAAAUGUGUGUACCUAAUUUGAAAAUUUUCACUGUCUAAACCUCUGUUUUUUCACCAGUGCUUUAAUAAGAAUUAUAUCAAGUAUUUGGGGAUUCUCCAAUGUGAAAUGCUGUCGACCACAUAACUCUUCAUCCUUGCAGAUCUCCGUAACCCCUUUAGAGGAUGACUGAUUUCUUUUGGUGUUCAGAGUCAAUAAUAAUUUCUAGCACCAUUUGAAAUCGGUUAUAGUGAUUGGGGAAUUGCACCUUGUGAAUUUUUACAGAAGAGGCUCCGGAGAGAAGCUUUAUUGAUACGAAAACAGGGAAGUGUGUUAUUUUAGUGAAUGGAGUUGCAGAAAUGCUGCAAGUUUAAUCUCUGGGAGGUGGAGAAUUGUAAAAACGUAUAACCCAAGAUCUUGGUUUAGGUCCUCUGUGUGAAGAUGAUCCUUGGAAUGUUUUGGAAAACCUUACAGUGCUGAGAGGGAAGAUCAAGGGAGAUGGUUUUCCAAAUGAGAAUAAUCAGUGUGGACUUUGGCUGGAAGAAGAAGAACCCCACCCUGUUGUCUUAAUGAUCUGUGUGUGAGGUAUGAGGAAAUAAAAGGAGCAGCAGAAAACCUUCCAAUCUGCAGCUCCCAUACUCUGGAUGUGCUGAAAGCAAGAUCUCAUGGAGGUUUUCCCUGCCAGCCUGAGAGCUUCUUCCAUUCUCCUCUCAUACACCCCUUACAGAGUAAGUCAUAAAGAACCUGAGUCACCUCUCCAAGGGUGUUUAAUAUAUAUUAAUUCCUCUGAAAUUUCAGUUGUUCAGAGACACAGCUGGCUGGAAGCCGAGUCGAAGGUGGGUCCUGUCCCCAGUUCCAGCAGGACCUCAUUACCCAUGAAGAUAAUCUCUGAAAAAUCAUCCUUCAAUCAGCUGGUCAUUCUACAUCCAGCUUUUUGGGAGUUAAUAACACCAACCAACCUACAGCAGCACAUCACACACCAACCUGCAGCAAGGCAUCCCUGUAGCAGGGGAUGUUUCCCUGGACGUCCUGGUGAGUUCAGCUUUUUCCGCUAUUCCAUAUGGAGUAAC